GAUGGCCACUACUUGCGUGUUGGGCAUGGUGGGGUGGUUAAUAAUCUUGAUCCCAGCUGGAAACUUGCAAGAGUUGGACUCUGCCACUUCCUUGGAGGCCUCUGCUUGAUUAGACUCCUGUUGGGCAGGGGAUCUCUUAGGUUCCUCCUCUGAUGUUUCACUUGGGGCAUUUUGAACAGGAAGGGGCAGCCUCCGUCUUUUGAGAAUCAGUGGCCGACGGGGGCUAGUUUUCAUUAUGAAUCUGCGUUUUCACUCUCCAUUGAGAAUCACAAGUGUGGACCCUGGAAAAUGCAAAUAGUGGCAAGAUGUUAGAGAUUGUUUAGGCUGAGAAGAGGUCCUUUUAGAGAAAGGUGCUCCUCUUUAUAUGACCAGGAACAUGAGCCUAAAGGCCCAGGUAAACAUUCCAUGGACUUUUGUAAAGACCUCAGAUAAUAAGGAGAUAAGCUUUACUGACAAAAGAAGGCUAAAAUUACAGCAGACAGAAGCAAUUCAAAGGGCAAAAAUGGGACUGGGUUGGAGAUAAGACAAAGAUCUCCUUGAAGCUUCAGAAUAUUUGGCUACAGAAAUGGAUGGGAUAGCUACAAAUAUGUGGAAAUCUCUAUAAUUGCCUACUAUAAUAUAAAUAGAUCACUUGCAAUGACUGUAUGGACAGAAAUGGAAG
rnacentral:lncRNA from 1 species